UCAAUAUGAAAAAACAAAGUGAUAUUAAAAUUAUCCCAAGAAAAAAGAUUAUUUGAGCUAGAGGUGUUCAUAGUUCGAUUAAAACUGAAUUAAUCGGCCGAAUCGAUCUAAUUCGGUUAAUUAAUCAAUUGCUAAAUUCCAUUUCGACUCAACUGAUUGUACCAUUUAGCUGCUACCCCCACCAAACUGUUGUAAUGGGCCAUUUUUGCCCGGGCCCGAAGAAGAACCAAAAUACAAAGUCAAAAUAAUACAUAAAUAAAAAUCCAAAUAUUAACAGUCCAUCAUCAAAGUCCAAUGUCCAAAAUCAUUACAAUGGCCUAUAGCUCAAACCUACUACAAGCCCAAAUGGCCCAAAACAUGUUAGAAAUAAAAAACCCUAAGGUUUCUACUUCUUUGCGUCGCAACCGAACAGCAGCCUUCAGCCUCAUGGCACCACAGCCACGCCCGCGCCUCUGUACGCCAACAUACAGUCUCGUACAUGCGUCACGCAUACCCCAUACCUGCAAGAAGAGACAAACGCAACAGCAAAUACAAAAUGGAAAAAAUUUGUAUUUUUCUUUAUUGUUUCAUCGGCUAUAAAGCCCAAGACAGAAAGAAUGUAUUUUUUUUACACAAUAGAUAGCAACCAAAUAGAAAGAAAACAAAAAAGGUGAUUUUUGCUUAACUUUCUUGAAGUUUUUUUUUGCGUUUCCUGGGCUCAUUUUCCUUCGAUCUAUUCAUCAUUGUAAUAGAAAACAAAGAAAAAGUGAAAGAGGAGCCUUACCUUACGAAUAGGCCACAUAUUUCUUCUUUCGCUUUGUUGAAAUCGAAGCUGAAAGGGAUCUCAAGGCUGAAAAGCCAUCCUUCCAAGGUUCGAACAUACCGGUCGCCGAUGGUGGUGGUAGAUCGGCGUUUAAGCAAAAGGGGAUUAGAGUUCAACCGAGUGGAAAAUGGGGUGCUUAGUUUUUUUUUUUGUUUUUGGUUCCAAAAUAGUUA
rnacentral:lncRNA from 1 species